AUGAACGCUGGCGGCGUGCCUAAUACAUGCAAGUCGAGCGAACGGACGAGAAGCUUGCUUCUCUGAUGUUAGCGGCGGACGGGUGAGUAACACGUGGAUAACCUACCUAUAAGACUGGGAUAACUUCGGGAAACCGGAGCUAAUACCGGAUGAUAUUUUGAACCGCAUGGUUCAAAAGUGAAAGACGGUCUUGCUGUCACUUAUAGAUGGAUCCGCGCUGCAUUAGCUAGUUGGUAAGGUAACGGCUUACCAAGGCAACGAUGCAUAGCCGACCUGAGAGGGUGAUCGGCCACACUGGAACUGAGACACGGUCCAGACUCCUACGGGAGGCAGCAGUAGGGAAUCUUCCGCAAUGGGCGAAAGCCUGACGGAGCAACGCCGCGUGAGUGAUGAAGGUCUUCGGAUCGUAAAACUCUGUUAUUAGGGAAGAACAUAUGUGUAAGUAAUUGUGCACAUCUUGACGGUACCUAAUCAGAAAGCCACGGCUAACUACGUG
rnacentral:rRNA from 1 species